AUUGAACGCUAGCGGGAUGCUUUACACAUGCAAGUCGAACGAGAGGCGGACGGGUUAUUAAUAAAUCUGAACGUGCCCAGGAGCGGGGUAUAACUACUCGAAAGUGUGGCUAAUACCGCAUUCAAUUGCAGCGGUCGAAAUCGGAGUAGCUAGUUGUUGGGGCAAAGGCUCACCAAGGCAACGAUCCGUAGCUGGUUUGAGAGGACGACCAGCCACACUGGGACUAAGACACGGCCCAGAUCCCUACGGGAGGCAGCAGUGGGGAAUUUUGGACAAUGGGGGAACCCCUGAUCCAGCCAUCCCGCUUGUAUGAGAAGGCCUUCGGGUUGUAAAGUACUUUUGGCAGAGAAGCGGUAUCUGCAGAAUAAGCACCGGCUAACUACGUGCCAGCAGCCGGGGUAAUAC
rnacentral:rRNA from 1 species